CAGGGGGUCUGGGCAGCUGCGUCCUUCGACAGGCUCAGGAUGAGCAGGUCGGGGGCCGAGGAAAGUCCGGGCUCCAAGAAACAAGGGUGGCGGGUAACGCCCGCCCGGCGAGUGCCUUCGGGCGCGAAGCCGAGGGAAAGUGCCACAGAGAGUAUACCGCCGAUGGAGGGAAACCUCACAGGCAAGGGUGAAAGGGUGCGGCAAGAGCGCACCGGGGUGCUGGCAACAGGACCCGCAUGGCAAACCCCACCCGGAGCAAGGCCGAAUAGGGGCCUCGCGCCUGCGUCCUUCGGGGCAAAGGUAGGGACGUUUCGUCCCGAGAGGCCCGGGUUGGCUGCUUGAGCGCAGGGAGCGAUCCCUCGCCUAGAUGAAUGGCUGCCCUUGCAACGCUGGUCGCAAGAUACCGGUUGCAGGACAGAACCCGGCUUACAGGGCCCCCUGGCAC
rnacentral:RNase_P_RNA from 2 species